rnacentral:rRNA from 1 species
UUGCUUCUUUGCUGACGAGUGGCGGACGGGUGAGUAAUGUCUGGGAAACUGCCUGAUGGAGGGGGAUAACUACUGGAAACGGUAGCUAAUACCGCAUAACGUCGCAAGACCAAAGAGGGGGACCUUCGGGCCUCUUGCCAUCGGAUGUGCCCAGAUGGGAUUAGCUAGUAGGUGGGGUAACGGCUCACCUAGGCGACGAUCCCUAGCUGGUCUGAGAGGAUGACCAGCCACACUGGAACUGAGACACGGUCCAGACUCCUACGGGAGGCAGCAGUGGGGAAUAUUGCACAAUGGGCGCAAGCCUGAUGCAGCCAUGCCGCGUGUAUGAAGAAGGCCUUCGGGUUGUAAAGUACUUUCAGCGGGGAGGAAGGGAGUAAAGUUAAUACCUUUGCUCAUUGACGUUACCCGCAGAAGAAGCACCGGCUAACUCCGUGCCAGCAGCCGCGGUAAUACGGAGGGUGCAAGCGUUAAUCGG